AUUAAAAACCCUGGACACUUCAAAUGACAACAAUUGAAACAGUCAGCACAAUUAAUCAAAGAUGCAAACACAAUUCAGUAGAAAGCGAUAGUGUUCUCACCGACCUCAUGCCCUGGAGAUGUAGAUCCACAUCAGGCACAAGGGGAGA